ACCAGAUACCUUUGGUGUUCAUUGCAAUGCUUUCAAAUAUAGUAAUGAGAAAUUUUCAAUUUUAAAAUAAAAUGUCCUAUUCUAAACUUUGCCUAGUCCUAGUUGUGGUAUUAACCAGAUAUACUGUGGCUUGUAUCAAAUAAGCAAAUAGAAAAUGCAAAUACAGGCAAAUUCAAGGAUAAUUUACAUAUUUUCUUCUGUAAAAUAUCAAUCUACAGAACAAUGAAAACAGUAAACCAGCUACGCCUGUUGGCCUUCCAUCUCAGUUACACCCUCUAUCUGAAGAAACUCCAUGGGCACAAGCACAACAAUUGCAUUGCUAGCAAGGCUUCUGCCACUAGAUUCUCAAUUUUACAUCUAUGACCUUGGCAUGCAACUCGCAAAAGGUAGACAUGCGCCAUGUUUGCCUUUGAGAAACAAUAAGCACCAUCUUCUCCUAGAGGAGAAAACUCUCUGACUGAAUGCUAACCCUCAACCGACUAGCUGUCCAACAUAUUAUGUAGACGGCAAGUUCUUUUCCUCACAGCAAAUGUUACCAAGUUUUGCUAAAGAAUAAUCUAUAAAUUUAACAAAAUCUUCAAGAGUACGGAUGGAAGAACUAUAGCCCAAAAUAUCAACUACCAAAGCUUUCUUUGGAUCUUUAUUCCAAAUCUGCUGCUCAUUUAUCAUCCCAUAAACUCUGCCCACAUCAAUGCACAGUUUAAGAAACUCAGGUUCAUCUUCUAAGGUGUCCUUCAAAUCCAAGAAGAAGCCAUGAUUUCCAAUAACAACUCCAGUGGAUUUCAUUUUCAGUGCAAUUUUCUGUAUAGAUGCUAAAUUAAAAAUUAAAUUUCGAGUAACUUUGGAGCAACUCCUGAGUGAAAUUUCAUUGUCUCUGGGUUGGAAGUAGAGUUGGACAAUGUUAGCCAAGAAGAAACGUGCUAGGAAGAUAUAAAAAUCAACAAAGUUCAUGCCUGGUAGAAAACAACCAAUCAGUAAAUAUCACAGUUUGUAUAAUCUCUUGCAACAGCUACCAGGCUACCAGCCACUAAUCAAGUGCUUUUCAAAGAUAAAAAUCUCAGCAUUUUCCCUCCACUUUAAAAAAUCUCAUGUAAGAGGGAAGGGCAGCUUUUCUGGGAGUCAUUAUGCAUCGUAUGAUGAAAGAUCAGUCCACUGAUUCUACUCCCAAUUCUGAAAGGCAAUAUGGGGAUUUCAUUUGUACCUAUACUUUCUUCAAUCAUUUUUGUGAAGUCCAGCCUACAGGUGACAAUGGAAUUAUACGUAGAGGCAAUCAGAUAAUCAGAACUCUAAAUUUACUAGUGGUAUUAUUUUAUUUCAUUGGGUUUGCACUUACUUGGCUGGACUUAUUUAGGGGUGAGCAUUCGGUUCAAAC
rnacentral:misc_RNA from 1 species